AGCGCAGCCCCGCGCGGUUCUCCGUUAAGAAGGUGCGGCUGAAGCGCGGGAGGUAGGAGGAGCUCGGCAUCGGCCUAGAGUGUCCCGGUGCGGGGGAGUAGUGGUGGGGGUUGUCACUUCCCGCGGUUUCCCCUCUUCUGCGAGGCCUGAAGCCGUCUGUCUUGUCAGCCUUCCCCGGACGCCCGAUCUUGACCGGUCCGCGGUGGAGUGACAGGAGCUGCACCGGGUAGACGGGGGCAGCGCCUGCCGGGAGGGAGAUAUAAAAUUAGAUGAACCUACGCCCUUUAUCACUGUGGAGAUCUUGGAGAAUCACCUGAUCACAGAGUUCACAUGUGUUCUAUCUCAGAGGCAGCUGUUGGACAACAAAAUGCUCUCUCACUUGUGAAGUUUUUAAACAACUUAUUUAGCUACGGGUCCAAAUUGAAGGAAGAUAUAAAAGUCACAUGGAGAGGAGGUCAGUACAAAGUCUCCGAGUAAAUCAGAGAGAAGAGUUGCUGAGCUGCAGUGAGGUCAGAGGCGUGGGAAGGCCUGAGUGGGCUCACACACGAGUUCCUCAUCUGUGGACAUGGUUCCAGGUCGGUCCUCACUCCCCUAAAGACAAACCGGAAACCUUAAAACAGGUCAAGUGAUGGAGGAGUCAGAUGACGAUUUCAAAGAACUCUGUGCCAGCUUUUUCCAAAGGGUGAAAAGAAAUGGGACCAAAGAAGCAUCAGGAGAGAGGACGAGGCAGAAGGCCUCUGGCCACACUCAGAACCGAGGCAAACGGAAAGAAGGCCGCCAAGUUGCCGCCAGGAGCAAAGCUCUUCAAGGCCCUUCAGAGAAGAAACCUCGAUUAGGCAGCCAGACCCCUAGGACUACAAAGCAAGGGGCACCCAAGUCUCAAGAAGGGGGCCCAGCUCUCCCUGCGAAUGGGAAGGGAGACGUUCUUGCUCCUACCCCAGAUCAGCCAGUGUUGUGUGAGAGAGCACAGAGCAUUCAGACAGAGAGUGCUCCCAAUGGCAACUCCCAGCCUCUUCCUUCCUGUUUCACGACAACUGGUGUACCAAGUCCCUCCAAACCCAGAGUCUCAGAGCUGGUUCUGCAACGGAUGAAGCAGUUCAAGAGAGCAGACCCUGAGCGCCUGAGACACGCCUCAGAAGAAUCCCCCCAAAAGACUGCACUGGGAGACGAUGUCCCAAGGAGCCCUCCAGAGGAGACAGUGGGAGAAAAUGAGUAUAAACUUGAUGCCACAGACAGUGAUGCUGCAAUGGCCCUGGCCUUACAGCAGGAGUUUAGAAGGGAGGAAGCAUCCUCACACCAUGACAGCCUGGAGGAGAAGGGGUUGUUCUUCUGUCAAAUGUGUCAGAAAAACCUCUCAGCAAUGAAUGUAACCCGGAGGGAGCAACAUGUGAACAGAUGCCUAGAUGAGGCAGAGAAGGCACAGAGACCUGCUUCACCUCGGAUCCCUGAUUGCCCAAUAUGUGGGAAACCGUUCCUCACCACCAAGAGCCGAAUCAGUCACUUGAAGCAGUGUGCGGUGAGGAUGGAAGUGGGUCCCCAACUCCUGCUUCAGGCUGUGAGGCUACAGACAGCUCAGCCAGAGGUGGAUGGCAGCCCUCAGGUACCCAGUUUCAGCAACAACGUUGGAGGUUUGAAACGGAAAGGAGUCACCACCAAAAGGGAGCCAAGGAGGAGGAAAGUCAAUAAGCCUGAGGCUCCGUCUGAAGAUCUGUUGGUGGCCAUGGCUCUGUCUCGCUCUGAGGUGGAGCACUGUCCAGUUGUGCCCCCGCUCAGACUGGAAAAUGCUUUUUCUGAGAAGAUAAGGCUAGGAGCAGAGAAGAAAAGUCGCAAGAAGAGACCCCCGGUGUGUCCCCCACAGUUGGUAACCCAAGACUCUGAGACCACAGGUAGACAGAUUGAAGAUCGUGUUGCCCAGCUUCUGUCAGAGGAAGCAGAACUAUCUUGCACCCCACCACUUCUUGCCAGCAAGAUUUCUAAGGAAGAAUUGGAACCUGCAGGCUGGCGAGCACGGCUGCCUGAAGGGAAGCGGAACUUUCUGUGGGAACUCAGCGCUCUCACAGGAGCCUGGGCUGAGGAGUCCUUCUACACAGUGGGACUGUUUCCUCCAAUUGUGUCCCAAUGCCCUUCCAAGGAACCCCAGCUACCAUUGGAGCUGCCCAAGCAAGGAGAGCCGAGUCCACGGCGGCCACCUGCUUCCCAGAGCAGCCUUCCUGUGAGCCACAGCCCCAAGAUCCGGCUGCUGUCCUCCAGCCAGAGGGAGCGUCAAGCCCUUCAGGACCUUGUGGACUUGGCAGUGGAAGGGCUGAGCUCUAGCCCACAGCCCGGGAGUCGGGGCGUACCCACAGGGUUGGACCUGGUACCUAGCAGCCUUCCGCUGACGGGGUUUGUCCUUCCAUGUAAGAAGACCCUGAAGAAGGAUGACAGUGCCUCACUCUCUCUUGGGUUAUUGGUGACAGACUUUGGGGCCAUGGUCAAUAAUCCACACCUGAGUGAUGUCCAGUUCCAGCUUGACAGUGGAGAGGUGCUUUAUGCACACAAGUUUGUUCUUUAUGCGAGAUGCCCACUUCUUAUUCAGUAUGUAAGCACUGAAAGCUUUUCUUCUGAAGAGGACGGGGAUCUGACCCAGCGUGCUCUGCUGAGUGAUGUGAGCUCGGAGGCCGCCCAUGCAUUUCUGAACUACCUCUACAUGGCAGACACUGACAUGCCUCCCAGCCUGGUUCCGGAUCUGCGUUCCCUGGCCCUAAGGUUUGGUGUGAGUGACCUUGUUCAGCUGUGUGAACAAGUGCCCGCCGUGGUGGACUUAGAGGGAGAACAGCCAGAAGAGACCAGUGAGGACUGUGAAAGCCGAGCAGAGACUUUCCUGGAACUCCUGAGGUCGGUGUGGGUAGACAAUGAGGAGGAAGUGGAGACUCUGCUGAAACCUGAGCUCUGUGAAGAAGAGAGAGAAAGAGUGAAUGAAGCAGAAAUGGAAGAGAUAUAUGAAUUUGCUGCUACGCAGAGGAAGCUUCUCCAGUGGGGGAGAGCAGCAGACCCAGAUGGGAGCACUAACCCGCAUGGGGAAGACGGUGCAGUUUCUGAGCCUUCCCUGGCAGGUGUCCAGAGUAACAGACAGCUAGAAAAUACAGAGCACAUGGAGUCAUCUGGGUUAGAAAAAGAAGAGGCACUAGCCAGCUGGGAACAAGAAGGACAUUCCACUCCACUGCAGGACCAGUGCCCAGACUGGGCAGGGAAAGCAGAGGCCCAGGAUGCAUUGGGGGAGGCAACUGACGACCCCAGCUUCUGCAGCCGCCACAGGAGGGGGAAAGAGUGCUUGCCUUUGCACCCAAACAAGGCCCAUGGCUGCAAACAGCCCCUUCCAUCAAAUCCAAGAGUGUCAUCUGAACUGUCACAAAUAACAGUUGAUCAUGAAGAGCAGAGUGACCAUGUCAGGGAGACGCAGGCAGACAUGGCCCAGGCACCUACUCCACACUCCUGCAGCCUUGUGUCACAGUCUUCUGUGGAUGGAAGUCCCAGCCAGUCAUGGCUUCACCUAUACCACACAAGUCAUUUGUCCCCCUCAGUGUCCCAGUCACACAGUAGCAUUUCCAGGGUGGCAUCCCCAAGAUCACUGUCUCCAACUACACCAACUAAGCAGAGGAGGGGCAGUAACAUUGUCACAUUACGGAAAGAUGCUGGCCACCACAGAGGCCAACAAAGUAGCCCCAUAGCGGGACACAGAAAUAGGGGCAUCCUGAUUUCCCCAGCAAAGUCUCCACCCAUUGACCUCACACAGUCAGUACCCGAGCCCCUGAGCCCCAGGGCCCAGGAUCCUCUGCAUUUCGUGAAAAAGGAGGAUGAGGUCAUCCUGUUACUGGACUCAGAUGAGGAGCUGGAGCACACCAAGACAGAGUCAGUUUCUAAAGAUUCCCCAGAAGGAAGGAAAGUUCCAGAAUUUAGCCCCAGGUCCUCUGAACUGUUUUCAGUCAUUGAUGUUGAAGAAGAUCAUGAACAUUUCCAAAGCCCACUGAAGAGAGAGGCCGGGCUACAGCACGGGGAGGAAGGACAGCUGGGAAACCAGUCUGCGCUGGGCUGCAGAGACAUCCCCUGGCUGCUCUGCAGCCAGAAAACCAGCCUGGAUGAGGACAGUGCUACAGACACCUCUUGGCUGGUGCCUGCCACUCCAGGGGUCAGCAGGAGUCGUGAUUGCUCAUCACAGACCCAAAUCAAAAGCCUUAAGACCAGGAUUCCGUCAGAUGAGACUGCUCAGCAAACACCUAGACCUAACUUAGAACGCAGGACCAUGCUGGAAACAGCCCAGCAGUUCUCUGUGAUCAUGCCACACACACAGCCUAUUACUCUAGGAGCCUUUGACAGCGGAAGACAGGCCUACAGAAGCCCUUCCCAUCCCUACCCCAGGCACCACAGACUCUCUUCUUCACAGCCAUCAUGUCCUGGCCCUGAUUUUACCAGGUGGUCCCAGAAAUCUUCCGCACCUAGACCAUGCCUGCCAAAUCUGCCUGCAGCUGAUGAUGUGGUAGAAGUUGGGGACAGUGAUGAUGAGGUGGCUUCCCAUCAAGGAAACAGCAGCCCCGUGCUAGAUGGUGACCCCCCAGGUCCCAUGGGUGACUACUGUUGGAAUGAGCCUCUCUCACCAAUUCCAAUUGACCACUUGAAUCUGGAGCGGACCGGCCCCCUGACCACAAGCAGUCCCAGCAGUCAGGUCCUGGAGGCUUUGCACAGUGAUGACUGCCACUCCCCGGGACUUGGUACCACCCCCAUCCGAGGAAGCUGUGGUACGCUGAGAGAGUCUCAGGAACGGUCCUCACUGGCUGGCUCUCCAGAGGCUCUGUGGGACGACUGGAAUGAGGAGGAAGGACAGUCUCCAGAGGCCCCACCUGUGGCUCAAAUGCUGAGUACCAGAACUCGGAAGCCAGACAGGCCAGAGACACCAAGUCCCAGGCAAUACACAGAACCACUGCAGGAGACUGAAGCAGACUUCCAGGCCUUCCAGGCAAACACGGAAAAAUGACAGGAGCCAUGUUCAACCUCUGCAGACAAAAGGAGAGGAGAGGGCUGGCUAGCUCUUCCCAUCAGUCUUUUUUUUUUCUUAGGGUUUUUGUUGUUGUUUUGCGGCAGGGUCUCCCUCUGGGUUCCAGGGUAGUAUGAAUAUUUUGGAAGUCCCAAGUCUCAGCUUCCAAAGUCCCGGAGUUACAAAUGUGAGCUUCAACCCCCAGCUUGUGGUUAUAAGCAGGUGGAGUUUUGUUGUGUGUUUGGCUCAGGCUUUCCUAGACAUUGAGGAAAUUCUUUUGCCUAAACUCAGUUUUGAACUAGACCUGGCAUCUCCAUUAAUCUUUUGUUUUUCCAGACAGCCCUAACUGUCCUGGAACAGUUUCUGUAGGCCAGGCUGGCCUUGGAUUUAGGUAUCCCCUGCCUCUGGCCCCUGAGUGCUGGGAUUAAAGGCGUGCGCCACCCUGCCCUGCAUGCCCUACCCCCACCCCAAGCAUUUUUAAGAGGAUAUACAUACAAUGUAUGAUCUUUUGCAACUGACUUCUUAGUACAAGAUUUCAAGAUUCACCUCUUUCCUUCUUUAUUAUAUCUAAAUACUGUAUCCAUUCAUCCAUUAGUAGGCAAUUGGGUUGGGUUGUGGUAAUUAAUCCUGUUUUGUGUGGACAUAAAUUUCACUUCUGAUACAAUUAGGUCCAGGAUUGAGGGUCAUGCUGUAACUGUGGUUAACAUUUUGAGGAACUACCACACUUUCCCCACAAGAUACUGCUUCAUAUUAGGUCCCUACCAAGACGUGUGUGAGGUGAAAGUUCCAGUCCCCCCACCACCUCCUGCCAACACAUUUCAUGUUUCCGGUCUCGUGGCUAUGAAGUGUUACUGUAGUGUGUUUGAUACCUGACGGCUCCUGCUGAGUGCCUUUUAUAUAUCUUUUAUGUAGUUUAGUGGCCAUUUGGAGAAAUGCUUGCCCUGUCCUUUGUUUAUUUAUAAUUAUAUUGUUUUUUUCUUUCAUUUACUUAUUGUGUGUGCGCAUGUGCAUAUGCCACAGUGUACAUGCAGAGGUCAGGAGACAGCAGUGGGCGUUGGUUCUUUCCUUUCCCUGUGUGGUUCCCAGGAACUGAACUGAAGUUAUCAGCCUUGGGGGUUGGCACCACUGCUCACUCACCUACAUCUCCCUAGCUUACACUGUCUCUAUUGUUGAGGUAGGAAAUUGAGAUGAGUAUGCUAGCUUGAGCAUACUCUGGGCUGCCAGUUGUCUCCGCUGUCACUACAUGCCAGGAUAGGAGCCUGCUCACUGGCAUUACUGUUGUGUACAUGAUGUGGUUCUUGAUAACUGUUGUAUAUUGCCUUCCAAACGGAAAGAACAGCUCAAACGGUGAAGGUGGUCUCCUUGGGCACAGUGUUGGUAACCGUCUGUUCUUUUCCAUGGUGACACUUCCAGGGCAAGAGGUGGUAGCAGACCCAUGCCUCUUACACUAAGUCAUGUGCUUCUCAUGUUUUAUCCAGAAGGUGCUAACCAGAAAAAGAACUUGCCUCCCAAAGUGCCUAUAACUCCAAUGCCAAGGUAUUCGAUCAUGGAGACCCCGGUGCUGAAGAAAGAACUGGACAGGUUUGGAGUCCGUGCUCUGCCCAAACGCCAGAUGGUUCUAAAACUGAAGGAGAUUUUCCAGUACACUCACCAGACUCUGGAGUCGGACUCUGAGGAUGAGGUCCAGUCCCCCCAGAUACCCGCAGAACUACCUUGUCGCCAGGCAUCUACCACUGAGACCUGCAACCCUUCAAGGUUGCCAACUGGGGAGCCUUCACAUCCUGAUGGUGACGCCCAGCUCCCAGCCUCCCAGGAAUCCAUGGCUACCUCUGUGGACGGCAGUGACAACUCCUUUAGCUCUAAAAGCUCCUCUGCUGAGUUUGGAGCUGCGUUUGAGUAUUCAGAUGAAGACAAGGAUGAGGAGGUCGGGGUCACUGCAUCACAGGCCGCAAUCCAGGCCGCAGACACAGAGGAGGCAGUGAGGCGCUAUAUCCGCUCUAAGCCUGCCCUGCACAGGCAGGUCCUGAGGUACCAGCCUGUGGAGCUGGCCGAGCUGCAGGCUGAGCUGAAACAGAAUGGCAUCCCUGUGGCCAUGGGCAAGCUGUCGGACAUCCUGGACGCUCAGUGCAUCACCUUCACCACUGCUGCAGCCCGAAAGGAGAAACUCAAACACAAGAGACGGCAGCCCUCAGGCCGAAAGAAAAAGGAUCAGAAAUGACAGGCCUCCACCCAGUAGACCUGCCAGAGGACCUGGGCACCUAGCAUAAGUCAGGCCUCUGCAGUAUGUCGUAGGAUAUGGGCCUAUGUCUGUGUAAAGGACAAGAACUCGAGCGUACUUUCCUGCACUCCAGCUCCGUUGUCCCCUUUGGACUCAGAGCACACCCUUCCCCCCUCAGUCAGUGCCAGUUUUCCCCCUUUGGCCCAACCAGGGUCCCCAUCCUGUGUGUUCCUGAAAGGCAGUGGGCCACACCAGCGACCAGAGCAAGACCUGAGCCUUCUUCACUUGCCUCUCUGUGUCCAGCACACCCAAGCACAGCUGCCCUAUAUUCUGGGACAGGCAACUGGGUCCAGCCUUCUCAGCAUUGAAACCAGCCCAGCCGCCAUGGCAGACCAGACACCGACGGGCGGCCUGCACCCUGUGCUUGCCCAGAUACUUGCCACUGUCACCAGCAUCCUACAAGUAGGGCCCAGCACAGCUAUGAAGACCCCCAAAGUAAGCAUGUUUGUGGGCUCCACCCAUUUGUGUUAAGCCUCCUUGACCCAGUGUGGACUCUGGGACCAGAAAAAAACAGAAGUUUGGGUUUUCACAGCCUGUGAGUGUCCUUGUGUGUUUUAAAUACAGUGAAGUUGUUUUAUAUAAUGUGCAAUAAAAACAAAGAAGACUUUA